CUUGGCCGGACGUCAUACACAGCGUGGCGCACAUAAAACCGGCCCCAACCGGAAUUCGAACGCGCGAACAGGUCUCAUCUUGCUUAGUCAACACCAUGACAACGCCUGCACAUGCUCAUUGACGCAGGCUUCAGUCAUGUAUAAAAAGCUUCCUCACAAAAUGCUGCUUAGCGCCGUUUGAAUUUCAUUAAUGCAGAUAAAGC